rnacentral:lncRNA from 1 species
AUCUUCAUCAUUUUAUGCUUUCUCUUCGUCUACCACAUCUGCCUGGGGGACAGUAAGGGAAGUGAAAAUGAUACCUCGAAGCAUGUGGAGACAAUUCAGCUAGGGACAAGGAGAAAGAAAGCAAGAGGUGGGCACUUGGAAAGAUUGAAGAAAGAAAUAAGGACCAACACCUUUGCCUCGUGCCUGCCCGCCGUGCUGAAGAAACAAGCAGAGAAGAAUGCAGCUCGUACAAUCAACCCAGCACAAGGAGUCCGAACUGAAGAACUAGAGAAGCUGCCACAUCUGCUUGGAGAACAAAUAAGGAACUGCAACAUAACCAAAGAGCAAAGCUUCGCCGUACAAUAGCAUAAAAUCAUCACUUGCAAGUAAAAAGCUAAGUGUCACCCUGUUCAAGAGGAACGCUGUGGAAAGUCAACAAGCACGACCAAUGAUUACUUAUUAGUUCUAUUCAUUGUCUUUUAUCGUGAUUUUCAAUUUUUCGUUUGCAAUUUUUUAUUUAUUUUUUUAUUAUUAUUUUAUUUUCUUGCGUUACUUAACUGAAUUAUUUCUUUUCUUUGCAGGAACUUUUGGUUAUUUCCACCCUUGAAGUUGAUUGCAAAAUUUUAGCUUGGGGGUCAUCGCUUGAUUUUACUGCAAACUAGGGAAGUUUUCAGUCCAAUUGCUUUAUUUUGUUUCUUAUUAUUUAUUUAUUUUAUUUUAUUUUUAUUUUGCGUUAUAGUGUUUUCUGACAUUGGGGACAAUGUCAAGUUUAAGUGUGGGGGUAGAAAUCUCCAGAAUUUCAUUUGUUUCUGUGUUGUUGCUUUUUGUUUUCUUUAAAAAAAAAAAAAUCGGAAAAUUUAAAAAUCCAAAAAUAUUGUCUUGUUUCCCUUAUUGUUUUGAAUUAGAUUUUUUGUUAGUUUCCCGACCCAAUGAUAUAAUUAGAUCAAAUUUGAAUCAUGAUUAUCAAGAACUUAGUUAACAUGUGUUUUGUGAAAUUCCUAAUUCUUUUGUUAGUUUUGUACAUGUUUGAUCAUCUUUGAAAAACCAAAUGCACAUAGCCUUGUUAAUGUGAAACUAAAGUAUGACUUAAAGCUUCAUAUGUGAAUUUAGUGACCAUAUACAUCCUAUGUGAGUUUUUGAGCCUAUUGAAAGUGUGUGCAUUUUUCAUACACUCCUAUUUUUUUUAUGUGUGAUGAACUUAUGUGAGAUACAUCUCUAGAACUUGCGUAACGAUCUUUCGAAAUGUUUGUCAUUGAUUGCAUGAAUUUGGAAAUGAUAGAGGCAUUAGGUUUACCACUAUGGCCCAAAUAACCAUGUUUCCCAAAGAAAAAUGAUAUCAUUAGAUUGCCAAUUUGAGCCGUGUUUGUUGAGCCUUUUAUUUCUUAUCA